CGACUUCGGAAGGGGUGUAUUUAUUAGAUAAAAAACCAAUGCCCUCCGGGGCUCCUUGGCGAUUCAUAAUAACUCAACGAAUCGCAUGGCCUUGCGCCGGCGAUGGUUCAUUCAAAUUUCUGCCCUAUCAACUUUCGAUUGUAAGAUAGUGGCUUACAAUGGUCUUUACGGGUAACGGGGAAUUAGGGUUCUAUUCCGGAGAGGGAGCCUGAGAAACGUAAGUUUUAUUAUUUUUUUUAUCUUUAUCGAGUGAUUUUGUGUCAACUUAACUAAUAUCUUUUUUAGGGCUACCACAUCCAAGGAAGGCAGCAGGCGCGCAAAUUACCCAAUCCCGACACGGGGAGGUAGUGACAAUAAAUACUGAUACAGGGCUCUUUUGGGUCUUGUAAUUGGAAUGAGUACAAUCUAAAUCCCUUAACGAGGAACAAUUGGAGGGCAAGUCUGGUGCCAGCAGCCGCGGUAAUUCCAGCUCCAAUAGCGUAUAUUAAAGUUGUUGCCGUUAAAAAGCUCGUAGUUGAACCUUGGGCCUGGCUGAUCUGUCCUCCUAAUCGAGCGCACGGAUUCGGUCGGGCCUUUCCUUCUGGGGAGCCCGAUGUCUU
rnacentral:rRNA from 1 species